CUCCUAUGAUUGGACGGCUUAGUGAUCAACCCAAUCCAAGUACCUGGCUACUUGGAUCAUCUAAUCUAACAUCAUACCAUAUAUGAUAUUGAUCAUAAAUCAGAUUUGAACAUAAAAACUAUCUAAAUCUAAUCUAAAUAAUGAAAAUCAAAUCUAUACAUGCAUAUAUAUUAUGUCAUAACAAACCUAGGCUUUGAUACCACUGA
rnacentral:lncRNA from 1 species